GAGUUUGAUCCUGGCUCAGGAUGAACGCCGGCGGCGUGCUUAACACAUGCAAGUCGAACGGGAAUUAUUUUAUUGAAACUUCGGUCGAUAUGAUUUAAUUCUAGUGGCGGACGGGUGAGUAACGCGUGGGUAACCUGCCUUGUACAGGGGGAUAACAGUCAGAAAUGACUGCUAAUACCGCAUAAGCGCACAGGACCGCAUGGUCCGGUGUGAAAAACUCCGGUGGUAUAAGAUGGACCCGCGUUGGAUUAGCUAGUUGGCAGGUAACGGCCUACCAAGGCGACGAUCCAUAGCCGGCCUGAGAGGGUGAACGGCCACAUUGGGACUGAGACACGGCCCAGACUCCUACGGGAGGCAGCAGUGGGGAAUAUUGCACAAUGGGGGAAACCCUGAUGCAGCGACGCCGCGUGAA
rnacentral:rRNA from 1 species